rnacentral:rRNA from 1 species
GAUGAACGCUAGCGGCAGGCCUAAUACAUGCAAGUCGAACGAGAUUAAGGGGCUUGCUCCUUAUGAAAGUGGCGCACGGGUGCGUAACGCGUAUGCAACCUACCUUAAUCAGGGGGAUAGCCCGAAGAAAUUCGGAUUAAGACCGCAUAAAAACACAGGAUAGCAUUAUCCAAUGUUCAAAUAUUUAUAGGAUUAAGAUGGGCAUGCGUGUCAUUAGCUAGUUGGCGGGGUAACGGCCCACCAAGGCGACGAUGACUAGGGGAUCUGAGAGGAUGACCCCCCACACUGGUACUGAGACACGGACCAG